GACGAACGCNGGCGGCGUGCUUAACACAUGCAAGUCGAACGGAGCUAUUUAUUUCGGUAGAUAGCUUAGUGGCAAACGGGUGAGUAACGCGUAGGCAACCUGCCCUCGGGAUGGGGACAACGGCUCGAAAGAGCCGCUAAUACCGAAUGACGUAUCUCUCUCACAUGGGAAGGAUACUAAAGAUGGGUCAAACCAUCGCCCGAGGAUGGGCCUGCGUCUGAUUAGCCAGUUGGUGAGGUAACGGCUCACCAAAGCGACGAUCAGUAGCCGGUCUGAGAGGAUGAACGGCCACAAUGGGACUGAGACACGGCCCAUACUCCUACGGGAGGCAGCAGUGGGGAAUCUUCCGCAAUGGGCGAAAGCCUGACGGAGCAACGCCGCGUGAGUGAAGGAGGUCUUCGGAUCGUAAAGCUCUGUUGUCGGGGACGAAAGGGUAGACGAGGCAAUGCGUUACUAAGA
rnacentral:rRNA from 1 species